UACACUCCUGCGGGAGGCAGCAGUGGGGAAUUUUGGACAAUGGGGGCAACCCUGAUCCAGCAAUGCCGCGUGAGUGAAGAAGGCCUUCGGGUUGUAAAGCUCUUUUGUCAGGGAAGAAACGGUGGUGGCGAAUAACUACUACUAAUGACGGUACCUGAAGAAUAAGCACCGGCUAACUACGUGCCAGCAGCCGCGGUAAUACGUAGGGUGCAAGCGUUAAUCGGAAUUACUGGGCGUAAAGCGUGCGCAGGCGGUUGUGUAAGUCAGAUGUGAAAUCCCCGGGCUCAACCUGGGAAUUGCAUUUGAGACUGCACGGCUAGAGUGUGUCAGAGGGGGGUAGAAUUCCACGUGUAGCAGUGAAAUGCGUAGAUAUGUGGAGGAAUACCGAUGGCGAAGGCAGCCCCCUGGGAUAACACUGACGCUCAUGCACGAAAGCGUGGGGAGCAAACAGGAUUAGAUACCCCUGUAGUCCCAUGA
rnacentral:rRNA from 1 species